GUAAUUUUUGUAUUUUUUUGUUUUUUUUUUUUUUGGAGAUGGAGUCUCACUGUCACCCAGGCUGGAGCGCAGCAGCACAACCUUGGCUCACUGCAACCUCUGCCUCCCGUGUUCAAGCGAUUUUCCUGCCUCAGCCUCCCGAGCAGCUGGAAUUAGAGGAGUGCACCACCAACCACAGGUGGCAAAUGGUGAGGAGAGAGGAAUAAGCAUCUAUCAUUUUAAGCAUCAAAUAGUACAAAAAGUAUUCUGAACUGAAAAGAAAUUACUACCAAUUAUAGAAUAUUUAAUAUUAAAACACAUUUUACUCUUCCAAGAUACACAGAGUAGAGAAAAUUAACAUUCCUGGCACUUACUAUGUCACAUCUGGAAAUAUCUCAGAGAUAAAAGAUCCAUUUUACAGAUUAAUGAGGUUCAACCCAAUUAGUAAUUGCGCCAAAGUCUAAGUGUGAAUGCCAGAGUGAUGAAUUGAACCCAGGUUUGUCUACAAAACCACUGUUGCAACUAUGGCAUUCCUUUGUACUUGAAAAUAUUUAAUAAGAUCAAUUUCCAGGUCCACCAAUGUUUGUUAGGUAACCAAUCAAGCCAGAGUGUUAGAAAAGGAAUAGGAGUUGGCAUGCCUAAUGAACACCAAGCUAGUGGGAGGACCAGAAAACUAGUUAUAAAAUAGCAUCAGGAAAAAAAAACAGUAAAAAACGUUUUGGGUAAAGAAAAACAACAAAUUUUGCACUGGUCAAAGUGUAUAUACAUCAACAUUCUCUCACAAACAAAAAUAAUCUUAAAUCAUAUUUUUGGGAGAAAUAAUGUUAGCAACACUAAAGCAUUCAGCAAAACAUUCUAUGUACAAACCCAACUUGACUUUAAUGAAAGACGUGGGAGAAAAAAUGUAAAAAACAAAACAAAAGCAUACCUGUUGCUUUAACAGCUGUGGGUCUAGUGGUCAUGACUGGUUUUGGAGGAUUCUGAACAACUCUAGGAACCUCCUGCACCGCUUCCUGUUCAUCUGGAUUAAAAAAAAAGAAAAGAAAAGAAAAGAAAAGAAAAGAAAAGAAAAGAAAACUGC
rnacentral:lncRNA from 1 species